UACGGAGGGUGCAAGCGUUAUCCGGAUUCACUGGGUUUAAAGGGUGCGUAGGUGGGCAAGUAAGUCAGUGGUGAAAUCUCCGGGCUUAACCCGGAACUGCCAUUGAUACUAUUGUCUUGAAUACUGUGGAGGUCAGCGGAAUAUGUCAUGUAGCGGUGAAAUGCUUAGAUAUGACAUAGAACACCAAUUGCGAAGGCAGCUGGCGUACACAAUAUUGACACUGAGGCACGAAAGCGUGGGGAUCAAACAGG
rnacentral:rRNA from 1 species